GUGAGGAACCUAAGGAGAAGCUAAACAAGCAGCAGCGGCGCACCUCCAACCAGCUUCACUUAUUAUGAAUUUAUGGAUAAUAAUCGGAGUUCGACCCUCUCCAAGGAGCACACUGGAGUAGAAGUCGGUUUUCCACCGGAAGAAAGUUCACCCGAGACACCGGAAAGUCUGGAGAUGAUGAUGCUGCUGAUGAUGAUGAUGUAAACAGCACGUCGGAGGAGAUUGAUGACAGCAGCUUAACACAACCUGAAGACCACACAGAGGAGGCUCCAGACAAAAAAAUCGAAAGCCAUCAUCUGGUGAUGCCAAGCUCCUGGGUGAUCGAUCAGCCCAGCAGAGAUCUUUCCUGGACAACAUGCAACAGCAGCAUGAGAGGAAUCUGGAAAGAGAAGCGAGGCUUCUUUCCAGGUUUAUGGA